rnacentral:rRNA from 1 species
GACGAACGCUGGCGGCGUGCUUAACACAUGCAAGUCAAGGGGGCCCGGUAGCGAAUACUGGGCAACCGGCGAACGGGUGCGUAACACGUGAGCAACCCACCGAACUGUGGGGAUAGCCGGCCUAACGGCCGAGUAAUACCGCAUACGCUCUCAGUGAGGCAUUUCAUUGAGAGGAAACCUACGGGACAGAUCGAGGGGCUCGCGGCCUAUCAGCUAGUUGGCGAGGGUAACGGCUCACCAAGGCAACGACGGGUAGCUGGUCCUGAGAGGAUGGCCAGCCACAUUGGGACUGAGAUACGGCCCAGACUCCUACGGGAGGCAGCGAGUGGGGAAUCUUG